UACGUAGGGCGCAAGCGUUAUCCGGAAUUACUGGGCGUAAAGCGUGCGUAGACGGUUAUUUAAGUCAGGUGUGAAAGCCCCGGGCUCAACCUGGGAAUUGCAUUUGAGACUGAAUAGCUAGGGUGCGGAAGAGGGAAGCGGAAUUUCCGGUGUAGCGGUGAAAUGCGUAGAUAUCGGAAGGAACACCAGUGGCGAAAGCGGCUUCCUGGUCCAGCACCGACGUUCAGGCACGAAAGCGUGGGGAGCAAACAGG
rnacentral:rRNA from 1 species